CAGUCGCCGCGGUAAUACGAGGGGGGCAAGCGUUGUUCGGAAUUAUUGGGCGUAAAGGGCGCGUAGGCGGUUUGACAAGUCUUGUGUGAAAUCUCUGGGCUCAACCCAGAGUCUGCACGGGAAACUGUCGGGCUAGAGGAUGGGAGAGGUGAGUGGAAUUUCCGGUGUAGCGGUGAAAUGCGUAGAUAUCGGAAGGAACACCUGUGGCGAAAGCGGCUCACUGGACCAUUACUGACGCUGAGGCGCGAAAGCUAGGGGAGCAAACAGGAUUAGAUACCCCCGUAGUCCCUGUCUCUUAUAC
rnacentral:rRNA from 1 species